UACGUAGGAGGCGAGCGUUGUCCGGAGUUACUGGGCGUAAAGCGCACGCAGGCGGUCUCUUUAGUCUGUAGGGACAGGGCACAGCUUAACUGUGUCAGGCUUACGGAAACUGGGAGACUUGAGGGCUUCAGAGGGAUGGGGAAUUCCGGGUGGAGUGGUGAAAUGCGUAGAUAUCCGGAGGAAUACCAAAGGCGAAGGCAGUGUCCUGGCUGGCAACUGACGCUGAGGUGCGAAAGCUAGGGGAGCGAACAGG
rnacentral:rRNA from 1 species